GUAAUUCUUUUUUUUUUAUGAUGAUGAAAAGUUGUUGCAUCAGAGAAUCAACUGGCUGAUGGGAAUUUUGGUAAAGCCUAUUGUUGCGCUCAGUCCAAAUUGCAUAUAUCGAAGCCUGCCAAGCUAGUCUAGCAAGAUAUAUUUGGUGAGGAUUGCCAGAGAUGGAGAGAACAGUGUCGAAGACACUAGUCCAAGAGUAGUUUAAUGCAGAGAUUCCAAACUUUCCUGCAAACUGAUCCCAUAAAGAGGAGGAGAAACUCAUUCAAAAUAAGAUGGUCCCUUGAUUCAGAGGCCUGGUUGCAGAGGAGACAAAGAUAAUCAGUAUGUAGUACCCAAGGUAAAAAACGAUUAUGAGUCGAGAAUCGAUUAAGCAUGAAUAGCCAAGCCAUAUUUUUGUGUUUUGGGAUCCCUUUCUUAAUCCAGAUAAUUGAGUGCCAAGCGACCUGAGGAUGAGAAUCUCUGAUUGUAUCGUAGAUUGAGCUCGAACAGAAGGUACUCUUUACAAUCACCCACUAUAAUUGAUCUUUGUCCUCUGAUAAUGCGACCAUCGUUAGAUGAAAGAACACCUGUUCAGUCCGAGGUGAUCUAGCGGAAGGAAGCCGCCAUUCGUUUUCUUGCCAUAAGGAAGCCACAUAUUCAUUAAUGUUGAUGCCAGCCACUUUGGGUCCUUGAUCACCAAUGAACCUGAUCAAAGGACCAAAAGGAGUCCAUGGAUCAGUCAAGAAUCAGCACCUCAAACCAUUCCCAUGUAUAAUUCACACCCAAUGAAUUACUGUGUCUCUCA
rnacentral:lncRNA from 1 species